AAGAUGCUGAGAGGGGAUCCGAUUGGUGAAACAGAAAAUCCAACAGCAUAUAUACAAGAACAGCUGAAACGGUGUGGAGAACUGGAAAAAGACCCGGAAGAAGACUUUGUUUUAGCUGCACUGUUCAGAAAGGCAAUAUUGGAAGCUAUGCCACCACCGGUUGAAACCAAACUCGAAGAUGUAGUGGAACUGAACUCCAAAUCACACAAGGAGUUCUGUGAUCAUGUUUCACAUGCAGUCAAGCAGCACCGAAAGAAUGAGCUGAAGGCAACCACAGCAGAGAGAGAGAUAUGCAGAGGGGGCUGGCACAGUUACAGCGGGACGACUUUGUGAGCAAACUAAGAAAAAAAGCACAAGCUGUUCUGAAGGAGAAACAACCAGCUUUAAUGGCGCUCAUCAACACACCUGCCCCCACCAUCCAGCAAACACAGAUAGCAACAUCAGCCCAACCCACUCCGGGAAAUGCUCAACAGCAAGCCACUCUCAUUAUUAUCUGUGCAAAGCCAAAACAGCAAAACAGCAGGAAUGGACAAAAACAGCGUGGAGGCAAAGGACAAGGUGGAACAAAAAAAGAUCACGUGAUAGAUGCUGGGGCUGUGAAGAUGCUGGGGCAGCCUGGACACAUCAGAAGUGAAUAUCCGAAUAACCAAUGGUCUGAUUAAGAUCAACAAAACUGACAGCAGAAUCAACAAGGCGGACAGUUGAACCAACAAUGCUGGCAGCCAAACCAGAGACAGUAAGGCCCACCCUAGCAGCAGCAGCAAUCACAACGACAACAACAAUCACAGUGUGGUCCGGUGGAUCUGGUGCAUGGGGCAGACCAAAGCUACUAAGGUUGCCCAGAGCAUCCUAAGGGGAGAGGUCAACAUCUAAUGAUAACUGAAAAUGCUGACGAGAGAUUAUUGACUCAACAUUGCGUGUUGAAGUUGAAGGCAAGUCUGAACCUAUGAUGACUGACACUGGAGCAACUUACACAUGCGUAAGUCCAAAUUAUAUCACACACCUCCACCUGUUCAAAAAAUUUUGCAAACAAGCAGGAUUUUAAGAAAAACUCCCAGCUGACACCUCUGACUGCUCCAGUCUGUCUGUAAUAAAAAGCCAAACAAGUGAUUUUAGAAAUAUUAGUUUCUAAGCACACCCAUUAAUUAUUAGAAAGAGGUACCCUGUGUAGAUUAAAAUUGCAGAUAUCUUGUUCCCCUGAUGGAAUUAAUAUUAACAGUGAGGUAGUUAGAAAAAUUACAAGAAAGACACAAGUAAAAACAUAUUGGAUAGGCAAAUUUAGGAUAGAAUGUUUAUAUGAUUUAAAAAAAAAAAAAAAAAAAUUGGAUUUUUGACUCUAUAGCACAUGUGACUAUUUUGCAGGCAAAUAGUUUUAGUAUAAAGAUCUUAGCCAUAUGAUGAAAAAUAGAAUAGGGAACGCAGUACAAUUCUAUACUGCUCAUUUUGGAAGAGAGGAGAAACAAGAAAGUUGUGUGCACCAUGGUUCUGGCAGGAGAAGUUGCAACAGAUAAGAUAGAUAUGCUUUGGCAGUCAUCCCAGAAAUACAGGCAGGCCUAACAUCAGAAAUGGAGCAGCUGAUUUCGAACUAAUUUCUGGAACAGCUAAAACAUAUGUAAGUUUAACAAAAAUUAGCAACAUCCGUAAGAAUUAAAAUAGAAAACAAGAGUAACCUUUGUGACAGGAAACAAUAAAAUGUUAGAAGCACUAUUGAGGCAUUAGGAGUUUUUAAUAGAAACAACAAGCUAUUGUAAAACACCAGUAUUUUCUGUAGCUAAAGUUUUAUUUUUGUAGCCUACAUGAUUGGAGAAAUAUAAAUGAUGUAUUUGAAGAUUGGCCAGCACACAGUAAGUUCCAGAUCCACACACACUGUUAACUAGUAUCCCUCCUGAAGUAAAAUGUUUCAAUGAAAUUGAUUUAUGCUCUGCUUUCUUUAGUAUUUAACUGGACGAGAAAUGCAGAAACUUUUACCUACAAAGGUAAACAACUAAAUUUCUUCAUUUACUUUAUAUUUUCAAUUAAUUAAUUAUUGAAACAGAUUUGUAAAGAUCUAGUGCUGGACAAUGCACUGUUCCAAUAUGUGGAUGACCUAUUAAUUUACUAUCCCACACUUGACCCAUGCUGUAGAGAUUAUAAAAGUAUUAAAUAAAUUAUCUGAGGGGGGAGGCACAAAGCCUCUAGAGCUAAAUUACAACAUUGUUAAACAUAGGUUAAAUAUUUGAUAAGAUUGCAUAUAAGACUGAGAAAUUAUAACCUAACACAUUAGAAGGCAUAAGCAAAGCACUUAUGCCACAAAGGAAAAAACAUGUCAGAGUUUAGCUUUGAUUGGAUAGAGGAUCAAAAAAGUAAGGGCCUUACUUUCACUUUAAAGCAUUCAUAUUAUUAAAAUGAGACAUAUUUGUAGCCCCAACUGUGAUGUAUGAUUACUCACUAGAGGAUAAUGUCUCAACAGAACUAAUGGAACUAGGGGAAUAAAUGUGGGAAAAAUUCCAUAUUAACUGCAUCACAAUUUGACAUUUGGAAAAAUAUGUUUUGGCAAAAUGGUAUGUUAGAACUUGGUUUAAUCUGUGAGCUACAACGGUAUUCAUAGACAAUUUCACAAUAGUACAGUUAGGAAGACCUAUAAAAAUCAGACUAUAACUUUUUCCUGUUACAAACAAAAAAACCUUGUUGUAGCUGAAUGUUUUUAGAUAUGUGGGAAAAAUGCCUUAAGAUGUACCCUCCCCAGAUAUUGAAAAUGCUUGUGUGCUAGUUAACUUAGCCCACGCCAAUAGUAUUUAAAUUUAGAAUUUUAUAUAUCUUGUUACGAACCCCUGCUCUUUAUUUUUGUGCAGUUUGUGUUUUUCUCUGUCCUAGUAGUGGUUGUCCAGUUGGAAUGGGGCGGAUACCAAUUAUCUAUGACGCCUGAGGUAUAACUAUUUAAGAGCUGUUGUGUCCCCUUACAGAGGAUACACUCUAAAAAAAAAAGGUUCCUUGAGGUUCUAUAUAAAACCAUGGGGUUCUAUACUUGGCCAAUAGAACCUUUUACCAAAAAAAGGGUUCCAUUUAGAGCCCUUGGAGGGCAAAGAACCAUUUUUAUGAAAAUGGUUCUAUAAUUCACGUUUGUGACUGAAGUGUAAACUAAAGAUUACACAAUAAUUACAGACCUCCACAACUCAUUCACAAACCUUUUUGUUUCAAUAGGCUGUGGUCAAAUAAAGAGAGAGUCAACAAAUAGGCUAUUCAUAUUUAUUGUAUGAUUUAUUUCCUGUGAGCUUUUUUAUGCAAGUUUGUACAUUAGCAUAAAACUAACAGUGCAGUUUGCGUUUUUGGUGAAUAACCAGGUGUUUUCUUUAUAUUUGUACAUUCUAUAUUGUCAAUGUUUAAUUUAACCUGAAGGGGCAUUUAAAACAAAUAAUGGCAAAAGUGCCCUCUGGUGGCGUAUAUAUGCGUUGCACCAUAAGCGAAGAUGAGCCUCCAGACGUGACAGUUUUUUUUCUUUUCAAACUGAGGAGUUCGGACUCCGGACCGGCAUUUCUGCUUGUUGGUACCCUGAGAUUAAAUUGCCAAUCACAAUAAGACAGCUGUGUGUUGUAAGGAGACGAAUGAAGCGCGUGGUCAAGGGAACCGGGUGGAAGGGAAAUUAUAUGUAAAUGUUUGUCGCAGUUUUACACAUAUUCCGUGAGUAUUUUUCGUUUGUUCACGAGUGCUUUAUCAGGGUUGGAGCUAAACUCUGAAGAAAAAAGUAAACUGGUGGCCACAGUUGGGAAAUUUCCGCCGGUCUUUAUUAUAAAUGCACGAUUGCAGUGCAGCGUUCGCAACAAGUCUAGAUUUGCAUGUUUUCUGUGAUGCACACAAUGAAUUAAUGUGAUGGUAGCUGUUAAGACACUUACAUUUAACAUUCAAAUGUUUUAAAAACCAAACGUGUUCAGGUUUUUAUGCGUAUUUGGUUUGUGAAGUGUAAUUUAUGCUUUUUUCCUUCCCCUCACAGAUAAUUAAUAAAUGGUCCGUUAUGACACGUCACUGGCUUUAAAAUAUAAACCCCAUUGAUGCAAAAAGGUCUGGUGAGGAAUGCUGCACUUAUGUUAUUGCAAGCAUUAUUUUAAGAAAAUUCCAGCUUCCUUUGCUGUGUAAAUAGUGAACCCAAAGGUCCCACACCAAACAUAGUGUUCAACGGCUCUCCUGAUCCUCUCAAAUCUCAAAGUAUCAACUUUAUAAUGGACAAUGUGAACAUAAUAUGUGGAAGACAUUGACAUCACAGGCUGUGGAAUGACUGUUUGCGGGUUUUUUUCUCUUCAAUGUUCAAUACCCUUUUGCCAUUAAGCACACAGUGACUUUAAUUUAUAAAAUAUAUGCUUAAAUUUAAAUACCUGUACAAAACAAAUGUACAAUCAACUUGUGUAAAUUGUCAUUCUAUUUAAUAGAUUGUUCAUUAAUUGUCUUUAAAUGCAUUGUGAUUUCUUUUCAUCAUUUCAGACACAUGUAAAAGUUACUAAAAAUUAGUACUGCAUAUACUGUACAGUAUCUUUGUUUAUAAAAACAGAAAAUGCGUAAGGGAAAUAACUUGAACAAAUUUUUUGAAUGUAUAGUGUAAUUAAGAGUUUAGCUGUUUAAUACAGAGAUGCAAUUUUAAUAUAUAUAUAUUAGGGGUGUAACGGUACGUGUAUUCGAACCGGACCGUUUCGGUUCAGGGCUUUCGGCACGGUGCGCACGUGCACCGAAAGGCCGAAUGCAUUUUGUGUGCGCCUGUGCGGAACAUAAUACGUGCGUUUCCGCACAAACAUAUUAAGUGGCGGAAGUCUCCGCGUUCAGCGCAAGUCUUCUGUCAAACAUAUAACAUAAUUCGGCCCGCAGAAAGAUUUUUAUUUACUUAGUUGUAUAUCCGUUUGAUUAUUGAUGUAAACGUUUACGUGUCGUAUCUAAAAGCGCAUGUUAAACGCGUGUCA